UGUGCCACCAAAGCAAGCCCGAGCAGAAGCCUUAAUUACAAGGAUGCUUGGAAUUUGGAACACACAAAGUGGACAUUUCUCAAGUUGAAACGAUAUUUCAUCACUGAAGAAUUAUUAAGAAUGUCUUGAGAUGUGCCUGAAUUUUCUAGAGGGUGGGGAGAAGACAGAGUCUCACCAAAUACAUGGGCAAGACCAAUGAGAGUCUUUUUAUUCUCUGCUGUUGCUUCAUAACAAAUUACCACAAAACAGAAUGAUUUAAGACAAUGAAAAACACUUUUUCUCAACAUUUCUGACUCAGAGACUUUUAUGAAGUUGUAGUCAUCUGAACACUUGACUGAAGGUUAAAAGAUUCACUUACAAGAUUUGAAGUUUAAGAAGGACUUGACCUGAGAGAUGUCCUCUGUUGUCCUCUGGCUUUGAAGUAGAGGAGGCAAGAAAUAAGGGUGGCCUUUAUGAUGUGAUAAUGAUCCUGGCUGACAGGAAGGAAAUGGACAUCUCAAUUACCCAGCAUGAACGUGACUUCUGCUAUCAUCCUGAAUGAGCUGGAAAGCGAAAGCCCUUAAACCUUCAGAGAAGAAUGCACCCGUGGCCAAUAUCUUGAAUUUUUCAUUGGAAAAUUCUGAGCAGAGAACCUGGUUAUGUUGGAUUUUACUUCUGAUCUACAGAACUGAGCUAAUAUAUGCAUGUUGUUUUAUGCCACCAAGUUGGUGGUAAUUUGUUCUGCAGCAAUAGAAAGCUAAUGCAGGCUGUCUGAAUAACCUCACAGAAGAGAUCUAAUCUACAGUUAUGAACACUUUCCAUGAGCGCUCAGCAAAUCUCAAGAAAACUUAAGACUGUCUAACUGCCAAAAUAUUUGCUCACCCCCUUUUCUUAAUCUGACUACUUUACCGUAACUAAUACAGCAUGGUGGCAUUUAUUUAAAAUUUACAAAUAAGAAAACAUUAGUAUCCAUUUUGAAUUAAUUAUACUUGUAUUCAAAUAUAUAUUAAACAUGAACGGAAAUAAAUACCUUCACCUGUUUUGAGUUCUUGCAGACACCAUUUACAAGGGUAACAUUCUGGGAGCCAAAUCUAGGGAAUGGUAUUUAGCCAGAUAGCAUCAUGAGUUGUUUAACAAGUUAGGGUGAAGAUAAGUGUGAGAUAGAAUAGGUGAAAUGUACAAAAGGGACUUUGGUAUUUUUAAUGAAUAAUAUUUGAAACAAAAAUGACCAACGUCAAAAUUCAUUAAAAGGCUUAACUCUUCCAUAUAUUUGAAAUAUUUUAUAAUAAAAUAUAUUUUAAAAUAACAAUAUCGGAGAUCAUUUACCCAAUAUCACACAUAUGGGGAACUUAAAUGAGGUUAUGUGUCCAUUGAUGAAUAGCUAAAACAUGGUACGUACAUAAUAGCAUAUUAUUAUUCAGCCUCACAAAAAGAAGGAAAUCCUGCCAGUUGCAACAUCAUGGAUAGACCUGGAAGACGUUGCACUAAAUGAAAAAAGCAAAUCAGAGGAUAAAAAUUGCAUGAUUUUGCUUAUAUCAGGGCUCUAAAAGAGUUAAACUCCUAGAAGCAACAAAUAUAUUAUUGGAAGUCAGAGGCUGAGGAGUGGUGAAACAGGAAGCUGUUAUUCAGUGGAUAUGUUUCAAUUAUGCUAGAUAAAUAAGUUCUAUAUAUCUGCUGGACAGCAUGGUGCCUAUAAUUAACAAUAUGGUAUUGUGCACUUCAAAACUUGUUAAGAGUACAUCUCAUAUUUAGUGUUCUUACCACAGAAGACAAAAAAAAGGAGAGAGAGAGAGAAACACAAGGAAGUUUUGGAAAGUGCUGGAUAUGUACACUACCUUGAUUAUGGCAAUGGUAACAAGGGUGUUUGCACAGAUCCAAACUUAUCAAAUUGUAUACAUUAAAUGUGUAAAGUUCUUUAUACUUCAGUAAAGUUUUUUUUUUUUUUAAAGAAAACAUGGCCACUAUUAAUGGAUGUUACAAUUUGUACCACCAACAUUAAUACUUGGAGUAAAAUUGUUGGUGUUACUCUUAACCUUCUCAUCAUGCAUCAUAUAGGAAUGAAGUAGCCCUGGGAGAAGAAACUUGAAUUCUAAAGGCAUGCCUUAGGCAUGUGGGAAGGGGACCUCUCAGACUUUAAGGCGGCUUAAAAUUUUUCAGAAAAAUCCAAGGUGCUAAAAUCUAAGUCAGCAAUAAAUCCUAAGCCAGCCAUAAAUCAGCCAGCAAACCACAUCUUUUGGACCAUAUAGUGUGGUUAUAUUUAUUUACUUUAUACCAAAUCUUCAGGCUGUGUUUAAAGCCUUGAAGUCUUUUAUUAGCUGUCAUCAGGGAUAUUAGAAAGUUGUCUAUUCUGGGUAACAGUGAGCAUAAAUAAUAUAUUGUUAAGACAAAAUUGAAACCGGGGAUGCAGAUCAGGACUGCUCCAUCUGCAUGGAAAGCCACACUCCAGCGGUGACCUAAGAGACCUGGAUGCUAUAGCAGUCUGUCUGAAAUGCUGUUAGACUUAUUUUCUGGAAACACAAUUCUGAUCCUGUCCCAAUCUUCUGAUAAUUAACAUCCAAAUCCUUGAGCCUGAUAUUGAAGGCUUAUCACAGUCUUUCACCUAUAUUCCCUGUCUAGGAUCCAACAACUAUCUUUCAAGUAGUUUCCAUUCCAUCUUUAUUCUUCACUGCUUUAUAGACAUGCCGUCUUACAUACAUUCCCUCAAAAACAAAACACUAAACCUAUUCUUCCUCUAUUUGAAACUUCAGAAGCCAUCUUGCUGCUAUAAGGGAACAAGUAUGAGGACAAAAACCUGGGCUAAAGCUGUUGUUCUCAAACACUCACAUGAAUAAAGAAAACAACUAGAAAGAUGUCAUUCUGAUUCCAUAGGUUAGGGUGUCGCGCAUAAUUUUGUAUUUCUGACAAGUGUCUGGUAAUGCUAAUGUUGCCAAGCCAUGGGGGGUCACAUAUUGAAGAGUAUGGGCUAAAAUAUGGCAGAUAAGAAUGGUAGAAAGAGCCUAGGUCCCUGAAGACAUUAUAGAGCACUUGAGUUAAUGCCAAUAUAGCCUAAAUCUGAAAUUUUUUGUUAUGUGAAAAAAACUCACCAAAAACAUAAAUAUUUAGCCCACUCAUACUGUUUUACUUUCAGCUAAUUCCAUUCCAAAUGUUACCAUUUAUCAUUAUUAUCAAAAUCUUCAGCAUUGUUAUCAUAGUAGCCAUUAUUUAAACUAUGUGCUGGGCAUUAUAUGAAAUCUUUUGAUUAAAUUAUAUUUUGCAACUCUCACA